rnacentral:rRNA from 1 species
GUGUCAGCAGCCGCGGUAAUACGAACCGUCCAAACGUUAUUCGGAAUCACUGGGCUUAAAGGGUGCGUAGGCGGCCCGGGAAGUUGGGUGUGAAAUCCCUCGGCUUAACCGAGGAAUAGCGCUCAAAACUGCCGGGCUUGAGGGAGACAGAGGUGAGCGGAACUUAGGGUGGAGCGGUGAAAUGCGUUGAUAUCCUAAGGAACACCGGGGGCGAAAGCGGCUCACUGGGUCUUUUCUGACGCUGAGGCACGAAAGCUAGGGGAGCGAACGGGAUUAGAUACCCCGGUAGUCCUAGCCCUAAACGAUGAGCACUAGAUCGGAGAACAUCCCAUAGUUUUCUGGUCGUAGCAAAAGCGUUAAGUGCUCCGCCUGGGGAGUAUGGUCGCAAGGCUGAAACUUAAAUGAAUUGACGGGG